UCUGACUCUGAGAGGAAAAAAUGGAUGCCAGAGGAAAAAGCCAGGGCAAGGAAGGCAGCAGCAGAAUGGCGAAGAGCUGUGGAGAGACGCCUGUUGCAGGUUUUGCUGCUGAGAGCAGCAGUCAGUUAGUGCGGCCACUUGAGUCACAGUUUGUUGAUCCUGAGGAGGCAAAACUAGAAAGUGAGGUUCAGAAAGGAGGCCCUGUGCACGAGGAGGAGGAGGGCAUGAAGCAGUGCCAGUUGCCCACAGCCACAUCUGCAGAACAGCAAGUACCAUGGUUUGGCUUUGAGAAAGCUUGUACAUUUGUGAGCCAGAGUGGGAAAAAUGUUGUUGUAUGAUGCAAUUACUGCCUUCCAAGGAUCAAAAAUCUGAGAUCAGCUGUUUCCUCCUCAUCCAAUGUGAAGAAACAUUUUGAGAGGGCACACCCUGAGAAGCUGAGAGCAAUUGAAGAAGCAAUAAAGGCAAGGAGACGUGGCCUUCUUGAACCAAUGCAUGACACCCCUCCUCCCAAAAUGCUGAAGCAGCAGCAGACAACCCUUGAGAGGUGGGGAUCUGGCAGGGAGCCUGUCACCCAGAGCAAUC